rnacentral:hammerhead_ribozyme from 1 species
AUCCAGCUGACGAGUCCCAAUUAGGACGAAACACGCGUCAAACUGGAU